ensembl:ncRNA lncRNA:CR46481 long non-coding RNA:CR46481
AAAGAACGAAAGGUUGAAGUCCACCCCGCGCGUUUUUAAUUUCGGGGGAAAAUUUCAGCAGCCGCCGCAGCAACCACAACCAAAGGAAUCUUUCCGCCCACUCCAUUUCACUGACCAUUACAGAAAUUACUAAGAGAAAUGGAGUAAACACAAUGGAGGAAACACAUGGAGGAAAUACAAUUAAAAUAAAACAUAAAAUACAUAAUCAACUUCCAAUUUCACAGGCACCUGGCACCAGAUAACAUUAUUGCUUAUACUGAUCACAGCGGUUUAUGGACAACAAUUUGAAGUUCAUAAUUUUUUCUAAUAAGCUAGUCCAGAUACCAUCUUCCUACGAACCGAUAACCAUAAACCCCAGGUCAAAUUUUAUACAAUAAAAUGAAAAGAGAACUAUCAGGGAUAACCCUGCAACGAAUAUGUUUCAAAAAGUUGCAUUCGGUAUUCCAGUUGAAACCUAUCGAACGAAAUUGAUUUUUUCCUCAAACGCAGUUCUUAUACGUCCAAUGUCGCUCAUAACCCUGUCGCGUUUUUGCAAAGUCAAAUUAAUUUAGUAUUUGGCUUUGCCAGUAUUUCCUUCUCCUUUUCCAUUUUAAUUUAAUUUGAAUAAAUAAAAAUAUUCCAAAUAAUAAUAAAUGUCCGACACCAGGGUUGAAUAAAUCCUUAAUCCUUAAUUCCUUAAUUAAUCGAACCCAAAUGCGGUCCAACGCUUAGCCAAACUCCACGGUGUUAGCGCAUUCCGCUGCAGUCACGCGCACACCGUAUGCUACUUCGUCAGCAGCCUUGGUCUGCCCUGUGGUACCGGGCGGAUCAGGAAUCACGGUGAUGUGAUAUUGCCAGGUUUCGGUAGUCCAUGGGUUGAGGUCAAUUUCCUCCACAGGAAAUACAAGAGAGAAAGGAUAAGCAGAGCCAAAGAUGCCUCCGUUAGGAAUGAAGCCAACAACUGUCCGGUUACCUCUGACAUCUUUUCCAAGUUUUUUAAACUCACGUCAUGUACGUACUCCAGAGAUAGCCGGCAGUCGUUGGCAAUUAGCUCGUGUCAUUUCGGCCACCAACUGUUACGGCCUCGUCGCCAUAUUGGACAACAAAAGUCCCUACUAGAUGAUGUUUCUCAGAGGCAGCUUCCAGAGUUCUAUUAAAGUUGGUCAGGAACAGCGUUCAUUCGUCGACUGCUUCAAUUAAUUGUCGGUUAUUUCGCUGGUAGGAACAAGCAGCGUGACCUCGCUUUAAAAGGCGUGGAAUUGAUCCGACUUCCUCCAGCUGUUGCAGCUUCUUGACUCGUGUCAAGGAGUUGUUGGUCGCUAUUCUUCGAGGCCACCUCCUGAGUUGUCAGAAUUGCUAUCCAGUCAGUUGCGUCGGAAGUCGGAUUUCCAUGCAGAUCCCAACCAGUUUAUCGAGCGAUGUUUCCUCACGGGUGCACUGGCUAUCCUGUUAAUACCCUCCGUUGCGUCUUUAAGAUAGUACUCGAAGAAGAUGUGUUAUGUGUUUAUGUUCUUCUGAUAGUUUGUUAUUUGUAGUAGUAGAAGUAAUUGUAUAUAAGUAUAGUAGUAUAAGCCCCAUUGCAAUAUUAGAAUGUAAGAACUAAUUAUAAGAGUCGUGAAUGUAAAUAGUAUAUACACACGUGCUGAAUAAAUGAAGAGUCGUCAGUCGUCGUUGAAGUGUCACGGAGCGCACACUAAAGCUCAGAAGUGGUCGGACUUACCCAAGUUAUUUGUUUCAAAAGAAAAAAAAGAUCGGCAUUAAUGAAUUGUAAUCCUGGCAAUUAUACAUUAAAAUAAGUAAAAGCUUUGUGCGUGCAAAACAAACUUAAAAGUAGUGGCAGAAAAAUCGAAUUGAUUAAAAGUCUUGAAAAUAUUUAAUUUGAGUGGCGGGCAUAUGAAAAAAAUAAAACAGUAAUGAAAAAAAUCAACGCCACAGAACAAACCAUUAAAAUGGACAGGGAUGAAAACAACGACAAGGGCGAAGAACAAAAUAGCGAAAUCGAGACAGCAAGAGGCAGUGACAACGACGGCGACGUUUGCACAUACAUACAAAGGAAUGCAAGAAACAGAAGGUUCGCGAAAGUAACGGGAUCUUGUGAAAUGAAUGUCAACAACCAAAACGACAUCGAGCAAUGUUCUGAGAGGCAGAUGGUGAGCGCCAGAAACAAUGAGUCCAACAAAUGUUUGGAUGGCUAGCAACAAUGAUCCUGGGAUGCAAAUGGCUGGCAACAAUGAGCCGGAACAAUGUUUUGGAAACCAAAUGAUGCGCAACAAUGUAACUAUGCAAGGCGGCGAUGUUCAAAGACUGGAAAAUUAGUUGAAAAUAUUGAAGCUGCAAAAUGAGAUCGACCAGUUAAAAAAUCAACAACAACAAAGUGACUUAAGCAUUUCUUUCGAAAUUUUAAAGGAGAUCGUUAAGGUAUAUGAUGGCGGAAACAAUUUCAAUGUUUGGCUAUUUCAACUUUUGAAUGUCCAGAAAAAUUUCAAGGUCGGUGCCAAUACGACGCGUGAGUUACCGACCCAUCGGUACAAUUCACCACCCCUCCCUCUAAACCACCACGCCUACACAAGUGAAGACAUCGAACCGGGAAGCGUUGCGAUACAAAGUCGCAACAUAAACAUCAACGACGAGUCAGCCGCCGACAUCCGCCAAAAAGCUGACACCGCAUUCCCUUCGCACAGACAACGCAGCGCAUACAAUCCCAUAUACAUACAUACUUGUUAACAUACUUUCCGCUGCGUCAGAUACUUUAUUUCUAAGAACUCCAACAUUGUAAUACACAUACAUAUUCACUGUUAGUUUAUUUAAGACCAAAAAAGACGACUGGCAGUAGAGAUCUAGCAGCAAACACUUGUAGACGUAUCCAAUAUUCAAUCCGAUCGAAUUCCCUGACAGCCGUAGCUACUUUCAAGAUCGGCUCCUCUCUUCUCUGCAUCUGAAUAUCCCACGAAGCUCUCCGGAGGUCACUGUGGCUACCUUCUGGAUCAGCUCCUCUCUUUUCUGCAUUUGAAUACCCCGCGAAGCUCCCCCGGAGGUAACUCGUGCGCUGAUUCACUACAAAGUUAAGGGCGAUGCUGAAAUAUGACUGUAUUCAAGCACAAGCGCUACCAUGGAGACAGCGGAUAAAAUGUUAAGCCACCUGGAGAAAAUGUUCGUAAUGUCCAAAGAGUCAAAGUUGAGUAUGCGGCAGAAGCUACAAAACUGCGUCUGGAUCAAAGGUGAGGAGUUCUCCAAGUGCUAGAACGAGAAGUGGCAGCUGGCGGAUAAUUUAGCACUGGCAGAAGAUGAAUUUUUGGAAUAUGUCAUUGACGGCAUACACGAUGUCAAUCUACGCAAUCUGGCUAAGUCGCUUUCGUCCAAGACCGGAUUGAAGCUUUUGGAGGCAUUCCGAAACGUUGAGUUGGGCUACGUUCCUAAGCCCAAGUUACCAUAAGACCGGCGAGCAGGAGAUUAUCAGAAUCAGAGUGCCGCAAGCCUAAGAGAGACAAGAUGGUGCCUGUUCCGCAUGUGGCUAAGGAGUGUAAUAAUAUGCUGAACCCCAUUUUCAUAUAAUGUCAGCACGAUAAGUAUUAUUAAAAAACGUUUUAUACCAAAUCAAAUAAAAAUGGAAAAUACACCUCUUUAAGUUACGUUGGAUUAAAUUUAAGUAAAUUAAAAAUACAUGAAAGUGUAAAAUGUUCAGUUAAGUUCUCAAAUAAAGAUACUCCUAUGUUACUAUAUGUCGU